GAUGAACGCUGGCGGCGUGCCUAAUACAUGCAAGUCGAACGCGCAGCGAGAGGUGCUUGCACCUUUCAAGCGAGUGGCGAACGGGUGAGUAACACGUGGAUAACCCGCCUCAAGGCUGGGGAUAACAUUUGGAAACAGAUGCUAAUACCGAAUAAAACUUAGUAUCGCAUGAUAUCAAGUUAAAAGGCGCUACGGCGUCACCUAGAGAUGGAUCCGCGGUGCAUUAGUUAGUUGGUGGGGUAAAGGCUUACCAAGACGAUGAUGCAUAGCCGAGUUGAGAGACUGAUCGGCCACAUUGGGACUGAGACACGGCCCAAACUCCUACGGGAGGCUGCAGUAGGGAAUCUUCCACAAUGGGCGCAAGCCUGAUGGAGCAACGCCGCGUGUGUGAUGAAGGCUUUCGGGUCGUGAAGCACUGUUGUAUGGGAAGAAAUGCUAAAAUAGGGAAUGAUUUUAGUUUGACGGUACCAUACCAGAAAGGGACGGCUAAAUACGUGCCAGCCGCCGCAGUAA
rnacentral:rRNA from 1 species